AACCCUCAUGUCCUUUAUCUCUCUCCGAUGGUUCCAGAAUUAGAGAAACCUCAAGUUACAGAGAUACAAGUCCGAAUGGACUGUAAUGGAUGCGUGCAGAAGAUCAAAAAGGCUCUGCAUGGCAUCAAUGGUAUCUAUGAACUCCAUAUUGACAUCACCCAACAGAAGUUGACAAUAAUUGGGUGGGCAGCUCCAGAAAAAAUAGUAAAAGCCAUUAGGAAAACUAGAAAGAUUGCCACUAUAUGUUCCCACACAGAACCAUCAGAUCAGCCAGCCGCUCAGCCAACAGAACCACCACCAACCACCAAAGCAACAAACCCUACCCUAGCAGAAGCUCCACCGGCUGAAGCAGCACCACCAGCGGAACCACCAACAGACCCACCACCACCUGAGAAUCCACCACCAGCAGAGAAACCAUCACUAUUACCUGUUGCUACAGAAACCAAUGCAAACCAGCCCGCACAUGCCUCUGAACCAAAAGAUGUAGGAGAGGUUCAUGUCAUAUACCAUCAUCCACCUGACUAUGGGUACAGAUAUAGCUUUGAUCAUAGUUAUGGCGGUCCCUGGAACAGAUACCCAAAGAGCCAUGGACUUCCACCAGAGCCCAGAUACCCUAAUAGCCAUGGACUACCAACAGAAUCACCACAGCCAAUCUAUGUGACUCACAGCUACAACACAUACAGGCCAUCACCAUAUGUCAAAGAAUACGAGCAC
rnacentral:misc_RNA from 1 species